rnacentral:tRNA from 1 species
GCCCUCGUAGCUCAGGGGAUAGAGCACCGGCCUCCGGAGCCGGUGGCGGAGGUUCGAAUCCUCCCGGGGGCACCG